rnacentral:rRNA from 1 species
GACGAACGCUGGCGGCGUGCUUAAGACAUGCAAGUCGUACGAGAAAGUCUCUUCGGAGAUGAGUAAAGUGGCGCACGGGUGAGUAACGCGUGGGUAAUCUGCCCUUAGGCUUGGGAUAACCCCGGGAAACCGGAGCUAAUACCGAAUGAGACCACGACGACCUCGGUCGAUGUGGGAAAAGGUGGCCUCUUCUUGAAAGCUAUCGCCAAAGGAUGAACCCGCGUUUGAUUAGCUAGUUGGUGAGGUAAUGGCUCACCAAGGCGACGAUCAAUAGCUGGUCUGAGAGGAUGAUCAGCCACACUGGAACUGAGAUACGGUCCAGACUCCUACGGGAGGCAGCAGUCAGGAAUAUUGGGCAAUGGGCGAAAGCCUGACCCAGCAACGCCGCGUGAAGGAUGAAGGCCUUCGGGUCGUAAACUUCUGUCGAGAGGGAAGAAUGCGUACGGGUAAACAAUCCGUGCGUUUGACGGUACCUCCAAAGGAAGCACCGGCUAACUCCGUGCCAGCCGCCGCCGUAACAC